AUUGAACGCUGGCGGCAUGCCUUACACAUGCAAGUCGAACGGUAACAGGUCUUCGGAUGCUGACGAGUGGCGAACGGGUGAGUAAUACAUCGGAACGUGCCCGAUCGUGGGGGAUAACGAAGCGAAGGCUUUGCUAAUACCGCAUACGAUCUACGGAUGAAAGCAGGGGACCGCAAGGCCUUGCGCGAACGGAGCGGCCGAUGGCAGAUUAGGUAGUUGGUGGGAUAAAAGCUUACCAAGCCGACGAUCUGUAGCUGGUCUGAGAGGACGACCAGCCACACUGGGACUGAGACACGGCCCAGACUCCUACGGGAGGCAGCAGUGGGGAAUUUUGGACAAUGGGCGAAAGCCUGAUCCAGCCAUGCCGCGUGCAGGAUGAAGGCCUUCGGGUUGUAAACUGCAUUUGUACGGAACGAAAAGACUCUGGUUAAUACCUGGGGUCCAUGACGGUACCGUAAGAAUAAGCACCGGCUAACUACGUGCCAGCCGCCGCCGUAAUAC
rnacentral:rRNA from 1 species